CCCGAAAAAGGCAAACCCUGAGUGAUCAGGGGGCGCAAAGUAAAGGAUCUCGUCAGCCAUUUAAGCAGUUUAAACAAUUUAAACCGCUCAUGAGACAGCCUUACUGCCGAAG
rfam:Candidatus Brocadia sinica JPN1 DNA, contig: brosiA.